rfam:Puccinia graminis f. sp. tritici CRL 75-36-700-3 supercont2.2 genomic scaffold, whole genome shotgun sequence.
GCCCGGCUAGCUCAGUUGGUAGAGCAUUCGACUCUUAUAAAGGGUUUCAGAACAUGUUUCUGUCAUCGAAUUGUCGUGGGUUCGAGCCCCACGUUGGGCG